rnacentral:lncRNA from 1 species
CACUAUAGGCUAAGAAACUAUUUUGGACGCACGCGAUGGUACUCCUUGGUGAAGGGGUUCAAGUGGAAUCUUGGUUCUGUCUGUUUGGAGAUAGUUCUAAUCUUGAUGCAAGAUAGGUGCACGGUUUGCAUGGAACAUACCAUAUGCUCAGAAAUCAAUUUGGACAAACCCGAUGGAACUAUUGAUGCACCCGAUGGAACUACUAGAUGAAGUAAUAAGGACGAGGGUGUCCCGAUCUUUCGGUGGAGAUGGAUAACUUCGAUCUCUCUGGAGCGACAUUCACGAUCCGACUACAACCGUCCAAGGACGCUGCGCCUUAGCGAUCGAUACACCAAUUCCAGCGGUUGAUCACGAUCUUGUUGAUCACGACCAACCAAACCACUAGGGUAAUUCCUGCACGCAAUCGAAGAACAUGCAAGGACAGAUAGAACAAGCACUCAAUUGCCAAAUAAUACAAGAAGGAUCUGAUAUGAAUCACGAUAACAAUAUAGGGUUUUGAAUCAAGUAGAACGGAUGGUCUAGUCGACACAUGCGUCUACAAGGAAGUAGCAAUGGCUAAUCUUACAACAAAACAAAACCCACCUUCUGUGUCUGGCUGUAGAAGCCUUUAUGUACAAGAGAGAGCAACC